rnacentral:rRNA from 1 species
GUGGGGAAUCUUGCACAAUGCGCGAAAGCGUGAUGCAGCAACGCCGCGUGCGGGAAGAAGGCCUUAGGGUUGUAAACCGCUUUCAGUUGGGACGAAGCUUCAGUCGUUAAUAGCGGUUUGGAGUGACGGUACCUUCAGAAGAAGCGCCGGCUAACUACGUGCCAGCAGCCGCGGUAAUACGUAGGGCGCGAGCGUUGUCCGGAAUCAUUGGGCGUAAAGCGCGUGUAGGCGGCUGAGUAAGUCUGCUGUGAAAGUCCAGGGCUCAACCCUGGAAUGUCGGCGGAUACUGCUCAGCUGGAGUACGGGAGGGGCGAGUGGAAUUCCUGGUGUAGCGGUGGAAUGCGCAGAUAUCAGGAGGAACACCUAUGGCGAAGGCAGCUCGCUGGAACGUUACUGACGCUGAGACGCGAAAGCGUGGGGAGCAAACAGGAUUAGAAACCCUUGUAGUCC